rnacentral:rRNA from 1 species
AUGAAGGCUGGCGGCUUGUAUCCUAGGAUCGUCGGCGUUGAUGUGGAGUACACCACGGAAGACGAACCUUCGCAGAUGGCAGUAGUUCUGCAGUUGUGCGUGGAGGAACUCUGCCUGGUGUACCACAUCGCUGUUGGGAAUCGUAGCCCAAGCGCCUCAACGACAUGCUGGAGCAUGAGAAGUUGUUCACAUUUGCCGGUUUCAGCAUUGAAGGGGACAAGGAGAAGCUAA